rnacentral:rRNA from 1 species
UUCGACACACUAUCAUUAACUGAAUCCAUAGGUUAAUGAGGCGAACCGGGGGAACUGAAACAUCUAAGUACCCCGAGGAAAAGAAAUCAACCGAGAUUCCCCCAGUAGCGGCGAGCGAACGGGGAGCAGCCCAGAGCCUGAAUCAGUGUGUGUGUUAGUGGAAGCGUCUGGAAAGGCGCGCGAUACAGGGUGACAGCCCCGUACACAAAAAUGCACAUACUGUGAGCUCGAUGAGUAGGGCGGGACACGUGGUAUCCUGUCUGAAUAUGGGGGGACCAUCCUCCAAGGCUAAAUACUCCUGACUGACCGAUAGUGAACCAGUACCGUGAGGGAAAGGCGAAAAGAACCCCGGCGAGGGGAGUGAAAAAGAACCUGAAACCGUGUACGUACAAGCAGUGGGAGCACGCUUCGGCGUGUGACUGCGUACCUUUUGUAUAAUGGGUCAGCGACUUAUAUUCUGUAGCAAGGUUAACCGAAUAGGGGAGCCGAAGGGAAACCGAGUCUUAACUGGGCGUUAAGUUGCAGGGUAUAGACCCGAAACCCGGUGAUCUAGCCAUGGGCAGGUUGAAGGUUGGGUAACACUAACUGGAGGACCGAACCGACUAAUGUUGAAAAAUUAGCGGAUGACUUGUGGCUGGGGGUGAAAGGCCAAUCAAACCGGGAGAUAGCUGGUUCUCCCCGAAAGCUAUUUAGGUAGCGCCUCGUGAAUUCAUCUCCGGGGGUAGAGCACUGUUUCGGCAAGGGGGUCAUCCCGACUUACCAACCCGAUGCAAACU